UUCGUUACUGUUGCGCGGUUGUCAGUCCGGUGGAUAUGUAGGCGUUGUUCUUGCGCAGGACCUAAACUCACCAAAUAUGCCACAAUGAAGAGGUUUUACAGCAUACUCAUAAUUCAGGAGGAAAGAUCCAGUAUGCUGGGGAGGCGUGUUUUGUCGGGAGGUCAAGAGAAACUUCAACAGCGGCAGAAUGGUGCCCCUUCCUGCCUUGGAGUGGUCGGCUUCCGGUUUCCUCAACAACAACAACAACAAAAAAAGACGGAAAGAUGGCGAAGCAAGUUCCGACGUGAAGUGGCUUACGUCCCCCAUCAAUGAAUCCCGAACGAACGACCACGCUUGUCUUUACUCUCACUUUAAAAAGAACAAGAAGGUUGUUCUUCGUCGCCGAGCCCAGACCGGUCAGCUUCUGUCACCAGCAAGGCUACACCUCAUCAACCCGCACUCAUACCCGAGCUCUAAGUGUCCGGCAUGCCCGGCCAGAGGUAUGGCCGAACAUCUUCUGUGGAGCUGCUCUGCCUCUGACACGGUCCAAGAAAGGACACUACA